AACGAACGCUGGCGGCAGGCCUAACACAUGCAAGUCGAACGCUGUAGCAAUACAGAGUGGCAGACGGGUGAGUAACGCGUGGGAAUCUUCCUAUCGGUACGGAAUAGCUCAGGGAAACUUGGGGUAAUACCGCAUACGCCCUUCGGGGGAAAGAUUUAUCGCCGAUAGAUGAGCCCGCGUCUGAUUAGCUAGUUGGUGAGGUAACGGCUCACCAAGGCGACGAUCAGUAGCUGGUCUGAGAGGAUGACCAGCCACACUGGGACUGAGACACGGCCCAGACUCCUACGGGAGGCAGCAGUGGGGAAUAUUGGACAAUGGGGGCAACCCUGAUCCAGCCAUGCCGCGUGAGUGACGAAGGUCUUCGGAUUGUAAAGCUCUUUUGGCGGGGACGAUAAUGACGGUACCCGCAGAAUAAGCCCCGGCUAACUUCGUGCCAGCCGCCGCGGUAA
rnacentral:rRNA from 1 species